rnacentral:rRNA from 1 species
CCUACGGGAGGCAGCAGUGGGGAAUUUUGGACAAUGGACGCAAGUCUGAUCCAGCCAUGCCGCGUGUGGGAAGAAGGCCUUCGGGUUGUAAACCACUUUUGUCAGGGAAGAAACGGCUCACUCUAAUACAGAGGGCUAAUGACGGUACCUGAAGAAUAAGCACCGGCUAACUACGUGCCAGCAGCCGCGGUAAUACGUAGGGUGCAAGCGUUAAUCGGAAUUACUGGGCGUAAAGCGUGCGCAGGCGGUUAUGCAAGACAGAUGUGAAAUCCCCGGGCUCAACCUGGGAACUGCAUUUGUGACUGCAUGGCUAGAGUACGGUAGAGGGGGAUGGAAUUCCGCGUGUAGCAGUGAAAUGCGUAGAUAUGCGGAGGAACACCGGAUGGCGAAGGCAAUCCCCUGGACCUGUACUGACGCUCAUGCACGAACGACGGUGGGAGGACGAACAAGGAGUAGUAUACCGUACGGUAGUACCGACGACCCGUAACCGACUGUACACUGGUUGGUUGGGUAGGGUUCGUUCUCAGUAACGUAGCGUACGCGUGAGUUAGCGCCGNGGGUGGUACGGCCGCGAGUAGUUAACGUUACGAAGGAAGUUGACGGNGNGAGACGNGCGACGGACGACGACGAGGGAGGAGG